rnacentral:lncRNA from 1 species
UGAUUUCUCGGUCUAAUAUCAACGUUUACAUGGUAUCAGAGCCUAGACGACGAUCCGAUUAUAUUUCUCUACAUCUCGUUGUCUUGGUUGAACUCUUUUUGAGAUUUUCUAGGGCUUUUCUGAGACCUUAUGGUCGAUGAUGGCUUUGACCUAGAUUGGAUGUUUUUCUGAGUUUUUCUUCAUGAUAUUUGAGUAUAUUCUCUUCACCCGAACAUUCUGAGAGUUUUUCUGCUGAUUUUGGGUGGUUUCUCGGUGACCUAUCGGCUUCUAGGGUUUCUGGUGGUUUAACCUAGGGUUCUACUGCUUUCCGGUGGCUCGAUUCUCACUAAGUGGAUGUUUUGGGUGCCUCUCUGACGUUCCUGACCACAUUCAAGGUUACACCUAGGGUUUUAUACCUAGGGUUUCUCUGUUGUUUGAAGGCCGAUCUUCUCCGGUCGCGAAGAAGGAGGGUAACUCUGUCCUUAUCUUCGGUAUUGUAUGUGAUUAUCUGACUCUGUAUAUGUGAGCAUCUGGUGUUCUCUGUGAAUACCUGAUUUGGUUAUACUCUGUUUGUUGGUUAUUGUGUAUGAAUACCUAUUUUGGUUAUACUCUGUUUGUUGAAAAGUUGUUCUUUUAAGCCGGUUCAUUGACUAUGGCUUCUAACACAAAUACUGGUGCCUCCCCUUCUAUAGACUCUUAGAGUCCCCUUUUUGUAUAUUCUUAUGAUGUUCCUGGGGUAUCUCUCGUUCCCAC